AUUGAACGCUGGCGGCAUGCCUUACACAUGCAAGUCGAACGGUAACGGGCCUUCGGGUGCCGACGAGUGGCGAACGGGUGAGUAAUACAUCGGAACGUGCCCGAUCGUGGGGGAUAACGAGGCGAAAGCUUUGCUAAUACCGCAUACGAUCUACGGAUGAAAGCAGGGGACCGCAAGGCCUUGCGCGGACGGAGCGGCCGAUGGCAGAUUAGGUAGUUGGUGGGAUAAAAGCUUACCAAGCUGACGAUCUGUAGCUGGUCUGAGAGGAUGAUCAGCCACACUGGGACUGAGACACGGCCCAGACUCCUACGGGAGGCAGCAGUGGGGAAUUUUGGACAAUGGGCGCAAGCCUGAUCCAGCCAUGCCGCGUGCAGGAUGAAGGCCUUCGGGUUGUAAACUGCUUUUGUACGGAACGAAAAGCCUUCUUUUAAUACAGGAGGGUCAUGACGGUACCGUAAGAAUAAGCACCGGCUAACUACGUG
rnacentral:rRNA from 1 species